UGGGGAAUUUUGGACAAUGGGCGCAAGCCUGAUCCAGCCAUGCCGCGUGCGGGAAGAAGGCCUUCGGGUUGUAAACCGCUUUUGUCAGGGAAGAAAUACUCCGGGCUAAUACCCUGGGGGGAUGACGGUACCCGAAGAAUAAGCACCGGCUAACUACGUGCCAGCAGUCGCGGUAAUACGUAGGGUGCAAGCGUUAAUCGGACUUACUGGGCGUAAAGCGUGCGCAGGCGGUGAUGCAAGACAGAUGUGAAAUCCCCGGGCUCAACCUGGGAACUGCAUUUGGGACUGCAUCGCUGGAGUGCGGCAGAGGGGGAUGGAAUUCCGCGUGUAGCAGUGAAAUGCGUAGAUAUGCGGAGGAACACCGAUGGCGAAGGCAAUCCCCUGGGCCUGCACUGACGCUCAUGCACGAAAGCGUGGGGAGCAAACA
rnacentral:rRNA from 1 species